rnacentral:rRNA from 1 species
GACGAACGCUGGCGGCGUGCUUAACACAUGCAAGUCGAGCGGUAAGGCCCUUUCGGGGGUACGACGAGCGGCGAACGGGUGAGUAACACGUGGGUGACCUGCCUCUAGCUCUGGGAUAAGCCUGGGAAGCUGGGUCUAAUACCGGAUAUGACCUCGCGGUGCAUGUUGCGGGGUGGAAAGCCUUGUGCGGCUAGGGAUGGGCCCGCGGCCUAUCAGCUUGUUGGUGGGGUGANGGCCUACCAAGGCGACGACGGGUAGCCGGCCUGAGAGGGCGACCGGCCACACUGGGACUGAGACACGGCCCAGACUCCUACGGGAGGCAGCAGUGGGGAAUCUUGCGCAAUGGGCGAAAGCCUGACGCAGCGACGCCGCGUGAGGGAUGACGGCCUCGGUUGUAACGUACUUCUAC